AAGAAGAAACAGUACUUUGCUUUGUCUUUCUUCUCAUAUCUCUCUCUAUGUACAUUUGUACAGGUACUUUAUUGUUCUUCUUAUAAUUAAUUUCAAAUCCUUAGAUGGGCCUUCGAAAAUGUUUGGGCCGUUUAGAAAAAACAGGGCCUUAUCGCCGAAACCCUAGCUAUAUAAGAUGGAGUGGAGCGCUUGACGAACAACACAGCGGAGGAGAAUCUGACUUUCGGCGACUUGACGAUGAGGGCGAAGUGGAAGAAGAAGCGCAUGAGGAGACUGAAGAGGAAGCGCAGGAAGAUGAGACAGCGAUCCAAGUAGUCUCUGUGUCUCCAUGCCUAUCCAUAAAUCUCUGAACCUUUAUGUUUUGUGGUUUUUACGUUUAAGUUGGAACAAUCGUUUGUAGAACAUGUUUCGAUCACUCCCUUUUAUUUAUCUACACGGAGCAGAGAUUUAUCUU